AAAAAUACUACUGAAGAGAAAGUCUCCUGGUUUAUUUCAGCUUAUUCCUUUGGAGAGAGCGUUUGAUCAGCAGCUUACUACUCGAUUUGGAGUAUUCAGUUUACAGAUCCUAGUGUGAUACAGAAGUCGUCCAAAAAAAAUGGUACGUAAGUGGGAGUUUUGGAAAGAAAAGAUUAACCCAAAUCACCCUGCCCUGCAAUUGUCAAUGUUUCGUGUAAUAUCAUUACUGGUUUAGUGACAGUGUGCACAUUUAUAUUUGAUCUCAGUUGGGAUUCGGGGACAUGGAUAGCGCAAUUAUCUGAUGAUUUCCUGUGAGCGUCGUUCAUUGGACCAAAAUGUCAUGGAGAGACGUUAAAGAUGUAUUCAUCCUAAAGGUACUCUCUUUUAUAAUCCUCUCAUUUCCACUUGUUGAAAAAUAAAAAAGUUAAGUCCAUGGCGAGUGUUUCCAAUUUUUUACGUUCGGCUACGAUUAUGUCUAGUGAUUAAGGCGGCGUCAUGCUGCCAUUCGUCAAUUAAGCUGAUGCAAUAUGUUCCUCUCGAAGUUCACAUCUCCAUCCAUCCUCUUCUUACUUAGAACCAUCUGAUCCGAAGAGUUCAUUCCCCGAUGCCUAGGAUCACACGUACCAGGCAAGCAUAAAAAAUUCAAGACACACAAUCUUACUCCCUCUGUGGGAGUAGCUCACAGAAGCCAAGUGCACUGAUUGACAGUAGAAACAAGCAUGCAUAUGAAAGCUAUGGACUCUGCGUUUGUCUUCAUUGUUUUUUGCAGCACAUGAGAGCUCAUUUUGCACAUCAGGGCACGUUAAGGAGUACUGGAGCAGUAGAAUCUGUACAUAGAUUUUUCAUAGCACUUGUACAAGGCUGCAGCACACAACUACGCAAACCAAUCGCAUAAAUUAUGAUAUGUUACAGCUGGGGAGCUGACUGCCCAGAUCCUGAAAUCCAAAUCACUCGCUACAUCUUUUGCCUAAUCGUCAAUCUACAAAGCAAACAGCUCGAAACAAUUGAACUCCAAACCCAACCCAAACCAAGUCUACCAAUCCAGUCAAAUACGGAGUACGAGCUAAAUGUAUUACAUCAGAAAUGUACAUACUAGUGCAACAACUUCAUACUAUAGUGCUCCAUUUACAAUACUCAAUACUUGGCUAAUCAGAUCAUCCAAUCACCCUGUGAGAAAAAAAAAAGUGACACGAACAAGUUAUUUAAAUCAGCGAUGAAAUUUGCCCAAGGCUGUUAAAUUAAGAAACAACGCAUCUUAAAUCUGGGAUAGUACCAGCAGUAUGAAGUUCAUCCAAGAGGAGGGGAUUCCGGUUCAGAGCCACUGAUGGAUGUAAAUGUUGACAGCGAAUCAUCACCAAAGUUCAAAUGGGAAGUCGAUAGCCGCCUCAAAUCACCAAAGUAUCUAUUAUGGCCAGAGUAUGAUCUGGGCGUCAAGAGCUCAGAGGUAGCACUGCCAAGAGAUGAUCGCCGCGGAGUAGGAGUCUUGAGUCCAUUAGUGUUUCCAUUUGGCCGAUACCCAUUUGUCUUCCUAUUUAAGCUGUUCGUCCUCUUUGGGCUUAGUUUAGAGCCAAAAAUCGCUUCUUUCUCUGCGAGUAGGAUGCUCUCCAACUUCUUCUGGUCCUGUAAGAAUGCAGAAGUCAUAUUAAAAGGCCAUAUCAUUUCUGAAUUAUUUUUAAUUAAAACAAGGGUGAUUCUUAAGCAUUUCUACCCGGUAUCGUCGUUUUUCCUCUUCUUUCUGAUGUCGGCUAAGUCUGUACUCUUCAAGCACAGAUAUUAGCCGCCCCUAUUAAAAGAGCAUGCAAGUCAAAAAAAAACUAAGAAUAAGCAUGCACACUAUUGGUCAUCCAAUUUUAUACUUACUCCAUCAUAGAGAAAGGGUUUGUUUCUUGCGUUUUCCCAAGCAAAGGUCCGGUUUAUCAGGUUGUCCACCAUACCUGAGAAAAUUCUGGGUCAUGCGUUGGAGUAACUGAAAUCUAUAAAUGAUUCCGCAACACUCAAAUUGAGACCUACUUGGGAUUUUUAUGACCAAAAUCCGUGCCUUUUCUGCCCGUUUAAGGUUUAUGUGGGCACCCCUUCCAGCGCUAUACCUCUUUGGGUCCUGCAAAAGACCUUUGGUGUCAUUUCUCAUGAUUUGACUUAUUACAGGUAUCUCAUGAAAAAUGAAACUGACCAGUGCUUUGCCAAGUAGUUCCAUUUUUCCAGAUACGCUGAAUUAGGUACUUUGUGCGGACAUACAUAGUAUGUGAAGCAUUCUAAUUCCAUUCUAGAGAUACUUACAGUACCUGGUUAUAUUCUUCAAGCCAAGCCUCCUCAUCACAAGCAGCAAUCCACUUAUUUAUCCUGUCCAUUAUAUCUUUUCGGCUAAGGGAUUCUUCUUUUGCUUUUAAUAUCUGUGACUCAAUAUUUGCUAGGAGCUCAGAGGGGUCGAUGAGGCCUGGAUGGCACCGGCACAAGAAUGUCAUUAUUUGUAAAAAGCAUGAGAACAUUUGAAUAUAGUAGCAGAGCAAGAUGCAUAAACAACAACCAGAAUCGAUCAGAG
rnacentral:lncRNA from 1 species